AACUUUUAACAACGGAUCACUUGGUUCUGGCAUCGAUGAAGAACGCAGCGAAAUGCGAUAAUUAAUGUGAAUUGCAGACUCAGUGAAUCAUCGAAUCUUUGAACGCACAUUGCGCCCUCUGGUAUUCCGGGGGGCAUGCCUGUUCGAGCGUCAUUACAACCCUCAAGCUCUGCUUGGUGUUGGGCUCGCCCUCUCGGGCCUGCCUCAAAGUCAGUGGCGGCACCGUGUGACCCUAAGCGUAGUAAUACUCGCCGCUUUUUUGGUUACGCGAGGCCUGCCAGCCAACCCCCACCAUCAAGGUUGACCUCGGAUCAGGUAGGGAUACCCGCUGAACUUAAGCAUAUCAAUAAGCGGAGGCU
rnacentral:misc_RNA from 1 species